UGUGACUGGUUGACCAGAGGGGCAAGCACUCUGUUCACCCUGUGGGCCACCUAGUCACCAA
rnacentral:pre_miRNA from 1 species